UCACCAAGAUGGACUGAAGGGGCCCAGGGAUGGUGGUUCCAUAGACUUCACAAAAGGACAUCAAUCUUGAAGAGCCCCAGGUUACCCUUGGCAUGGCAGUUCAAGUCAGUGGAAUCUCCAGCUGGAUUCAGCUGUCCAGGAUCAAGCUUCCCUACCUGGAUCCACAGACCCUCCUGGCUAUAUUGUACAACUGCCAGCCACUGGAGUGUUUAAGACAAUGAAGCUAAGUAUCAUGGGCCCUUCACUUCCGGGUGUACUGCUGCUCCUCUCCUUUCACAAUUCAGCAGAUCAGCCCUGAAGAACAUGCUCACCUACCCUGCUCACCACUUAAACCUCACUUCCCGUUGGCUGUGUGCUGGGAACUCCCAACCCACGGCCAACAUCACUCACUGUGGUACAGCACAGCUCUUUGCAUUCCCUCAUCUAAGCCUUGAAGACCUGACAAAAACAUGCUUUUCCUUUCUUAAUCCCUCUCCUUCUGGUCGUGACACUGCCAGCCACCAGAAAAAGAAUAAGAGGAAUUGUUGUCAACUGUCAAUUCCACAGCAAACUCUUUCUAGAAAUAGCACAGAGCAUACAAUCCACAGCCCAUGGCUUGGCCAUCCUUCAGACCCACGUAGAGUCCCUGGCAGUGGUGGUGCUCCAAAAUAGCUGAGCCUUAGAUACACUCACAACAGCCCAAGGGGAUACAUGCAUCCUGUUAUAGAGCAGUGUUGCUUUUAUGGCCUGUCCCAUCUGUGAAUUCCUUUUUUGUGGGACCCAAAAAAUGGAAGAAGUCUCUACUCUGGUAGGAGCCUGGCCUCGUCCAGUGAGCCAGUAAUAGUUGCAUUCCCUCUAAGGUCAAGGUUAGGAAACUGAAUGACUCUAGAGACUGGCAGCACUCCAGUGGUGCCCAAUGGUUUGCAUUCAACAAAACUGAAGGUGGAUCUAGUUGAAUUGUCAGACCAAAUAUUCCAAAUGAAAUUAUGUAAGGUCAAAAUUAAAUCGUUGCUGGAGUUCUCAUUGUUUAUUUUUUUCUAUUCCUGCCUGCUUUUAACAUCUAGCUGUUUUUAGCAGGGUAACCAGAUUUUUUUAAUAUAUCCUGACUGCAUGAGUAGGGAAUAUGUGUUUGGGAACCAGGACUGCAACAAGUAAGCAUUCCCAAUGACAGCAGGAAUGAGAACCAUACCUAUUCAAUAUGCUUCUAUGAGGAUUAAAUGAGGAAACACAGACUUCAAGAAGAAAAGUGGAUAAUUCCAGGCUGUGUGGAGAGGAAGCAGCUGCUGUUUCAGAGACUCGCUGACACAGCUACAGGGAAGGCGUUUGUUUUGGAGGUUGCAGCACUGUGGAAGGAGAGCUGUUAUGCUUCUGACAAUAAACUUCAAUUAUACCUGCCACCUGGAACCUGCUGAUGCUAAGAGUAAAUUCUGUCCCAGACCCACUGGCACUGCAUUGGUCUGAACACCAGAUGUUGCAGGGGAUGACCAGGAGAUGAGCAGUUUAGGGACCUUGCCCAUUUAUUUCUGGUACCAGGCUUGUUAGUCCGUCUUGUUGGAGCUGGAUACAGUACUCUUGAUGGACUUCAGUUUGAUAAUGACACACAUCCCUGGAGACAGCCGAGGAGACUAGAGACUCAGUCAUCAUAAUGUACCCCCUGGCACCUGCAAUCAGAAUAAGCAA